CCAUGUCACAAGAGGAGCUUUUGCUGAGAAUGGUGACAGCUAGGUAGGAUUCCUAGCUGGGGCCUAAACUCUUUGAACCUGAACAGGGUAAUGCCUGCGUAAGGGAUGUGCAAACCAGAGAUG
rnacentral:ncRNA from 1 species